CAAAGGAGACUGCCAGUGAUAAACUGGAGGAAGGUGGGGAUGACGUCAAGUCAUCAUGGCCCUUACGACCAGGGCUACACACGUGCUACAAUGGCGCAUACAAAGAGAAGCGACCUCGCGAGAGCAAGCGGACCUCAUAAAGUGCGUCGUAGUCCGGAUUGGAGUCUGCAACUCGACUCCAUGAAGUCGGAAUCGCUAGUAAUCGUGGAUCAGAAUGCCACGGUGAAUACGUUCCCGGGCCUUGUACACACCGCCCGUCACACCAUGGGAGUGGGUUGCAAAAGAAGUAGGUAGCUUAACCUUCGGGAGGGCGCUUACCACUUUGUGAUUCAUGACUGGGGUGAAGUCGUAACAAGGUAACCGUAGGGGAACCUGCGGUUGGAUCAC
rnacentral:rRNA from 1 species